rnacentral:rRNA from 1 species
CCCUACGGGGNUGCAGCAGGCGCGAAAACUUUACAAUGCGGGAAACCGUGAUAAGGGGACCCGAGUGCCGCAUCAUAUGCUGGCUGUCCGGGUGUGUAAAUACACCUGUUAGCAAGGGCCGGGCAAGACCGGUGCCAGCCGCCGCGGUAACACCGGCGGCCCGAGUGGUGAUCGUGAUUAUUGGGUCUAAAGGGUCCGUAGCCGGUUUGGUCAGUCCUCCGGGAAAUCUGACGGCUUAACCGUUAGGCUUUCGGAGGAUACUGCCAGGCUUGGAACCGGGAGAGGUAAGAGGUACUACAGGGGUAGGAGUG